rnacentral:rRNA from 1 species
CACAGUGUAGCAAUACAUGGGUGGCGACCGGCAAACGGGUGCGGAACACGUACGCAACCUUCCUUCAGGCGGGGAAUAGCCCAGAGAAAUUUGGAUUAAUACCCCAUAAUAUUUUGAGAUGGCAUCAUCUUAUUAUUAAAGCUACGGCACCUGGAGAUGGGCGUGCGGCUGAUUAGGUAGUUGGCGGGGUAAUGGCCCACCAAGCCUACGAUCAGUAGCUGAUGUGAGAGCAUGAUCAGCCACACGGGCACUGAGACACGGGCCCGACUCCUACGGGAGGCAGCAGUAAGGAAUAUUGGUCAAUGGACGCAAGUCUGAACCAGCCAUGCCGCGUGGAGGAUGAAGGUCCUCUGGAUUGUAAACUUCUUUUAUCUGGGACGAAAAAAGGGUUUUCUAACUCGUCUGACGGUACCAGAUGAAUAAGCACCGGCUAACUCCGUGCCAGCAGCCGCGGUAAUACGGAGGGUGCAAGCGUUAUCCGGAUUCACUGGGUUUAAAGGGUGCGUAGGCGGGCAUUUAAGUCAGUGGUGAAAUACCUGAGCUUAACUUGGGAACUGCCAUUGAUACUAUUUGUCUUGAAUGUCGUGGAGGUUAGCGGAAUAUGUCAUGUAGCGGUGAAAUGCUUAGAUAUGACAUAGAACACCUAUUGCGAAGGCAGCUAACUACGCGAAUAUUGGACGCUGAGGCACGAAAGCGUGGGGAUCGAAACAGGAUUAGAUACCCUUGGUAGUCCACGCCCCUAAACGAUGAUUACUCGACAUUAGCGAUACACUGUUAGUGUCUGAGCG